rnacentral:rRNA from 1 species
UACGUAGGGUGCAAGCGUUAAUCGGAAUUACUGGGCGUAAAGCGUGCGCAGGCGGUUUUGUAAGUCUGUCGUGAAAUCCCCGGGCUCAACCUGGGAAUUGCAUCUGUGACUGCAUAGCUAGAGUACGGUAGAGGGGGAUGGAAUUCCGCGUGUAGCAGUGAAAUGCGUAGAUAUGCGGAGGAACACCGAUGGCGAAGGCAAUCCCCCUGGACCUGUACUGACGCUCAUGCACGAAAGCGUGGGGAGCAAACAGG